GAUGAAGAACGUAGCGAAAUGCGAUACUUGGUGUGAAUUGCAGAAUCCCGUGAACCAUCGAGUCUUUGAACGCAAGUUGCGCCCGAAGCCAUUAGGCCGAGGGCACGCCUGCCUGGGCGUCACACGCCGUUGCCCCCCCAUCUACUCCUUCGGGAUUGCGGGGGGCGGAUGAUGGCCUCCCGUGCGCCUCGCCGCGCGGUUGGCAUAAAUGCCAAGUCCUCGGCGACGCACGCCACGACAAUCGGUGGUUGCGAAACCUCGGUUGCCCGUCGUGUGCGGUCGUCGCGCAUCGAGGGCUCGAAAAAAUUGCCGGGUUCCGGCUCGGCUUUCAACGCGACCCCAGGUCAGGCGGGGUUACCCGCUGAAUUUAAGCAUAUCAAUAAGCGGAGGA
rnacentral:misc_RNA from 1 species